CUCUCUCUCUGUUUCUCUCUCUCUCUCUCUCUCUUUGAAUCUGCACUGUCCUGCUCCUUAGAGGCUUUUAGUUAUUAAAUAUAUGGAUCUAUUGUAUUUGUUAUCUCAAUUUAGUCUUAAACACGUUUGCAUGCGUACGCUGAUAAGAGCGAUGUCUGUGUAACCAAAUGCACGGUAACUCAUGUAGAGUCAGUCAGUGGUUAUUUUUAGAUUUCGUUUCUAAACAUAGGCAUGACGUAUUCUGCUGCGGACGGAUUAAUCCACUCAGCUUCCUGUAUAAAUGGUACAGAAUUUGGAGAAGUAUGUCAACAUGGUCCCUCACACCAGCAAUGUGAGGGACCAGCACAAUAGCAGACUUCAAAGACAACGUCGCCACGUGACACAGUCCAGCGUCAACAAUAAGACUCAGACGAGGCAAAAAAAAAAAUACCCAGAUGUAAGCAAUAAAAGUGGAAAUGCCCCAAUGGCCCAUACAGUUUAUACAAGCCAGCGUCAGAACGAGGCCACAAGCUGACAGCGUCAGAACGAGGCCACAAGCUGACAGCGUCAGAACGAGGCCACAAGCUGACAGCGUCAGAACGAGGCCACAAGCUGACAGCGUCAGAACGAGGCCACAGGUUGAUAGCCUUGAAGGAAAUGACGCAAUAAGCAGGAUGGCUGGUGCCACUAUGGGAUGGAAAAUGGCCUACGGCUUCAUGGCCAAGCGUUUCUCUGAAUGGCUGGCCGACGCACAGGAAGGCUUACAGAGAAGCGAUAUUUUCAAAUAUUUUCUCAGCGAAAAAUCCAUCCUUAUUGACUUUAUCACAUCUGUCCAUUUGACUGACAACGCGUCAUUGUCAUGUCACACAAAAUGGCAGAAAGCAAGGGCUGCUACUCUCAAUUUAGAGAGAAAGAUUUCUUACAAAAGCAAGUUGCAGAACUCUCUAGAAUACUCGUUGGCAAAACAAACGGACAAAAUAUUUGGUCAAAGAACAACAUUCCCCAAGGUUGGCCAUCAGAUGUUCAGUGGAAAAAUCCAACCUCAUCACCAAAAGAUACACUGGAUGUAUUAAAGCUUAAAUUUGAUUGGUUGAGAUCCAAGACCCGUCAUUUACUUGCUAAAGAACAAAUUCAACUUUUGGAUUUUUACGAUGAAGGAAACAAAACAAAAUUGAUAACUUUUAUAGAAAUACAAAAAAUACUAACUGAUUUUCAGAAAUGCAUAAAAAUGUUGGAUUGUAGAUCACUUGUUUCUAAUUCACGAAACUAUUUCCCAGAGAUUCACCAAGAGCUUCUAUUUCAUCUCGAUAUGCUGUACCAAAAGUUGGAAUGUAGCAAAUCACCUAAAGAGGCAUCGAGGGAAGACUUGUUUGAAAAUGCAUGCCAACUUGAACAAAAGAAAACCCAUUUUAACACCGAGAUCGUCGAUACAGUCACAGGUCAAAGAAAGGAAGAAUGUCAGCCAAGUCCAUUGUACAAGGUCUUGUUAUUGGACACUAAAGAGUCCCAGCCGCACCAAGAAUGUGUCGAUAUUGACCCAGCAGUUAAAAAAUGGAGGUUAAAACGAAACGUUUCUUCCGUUAUACCUGUAGAGUGUCAAGCAGAAAGCACACAUGGAUCAAAGAAGCAGAAAAUGUAGGAAAUCAAUGUGGCUGACCGCCAUCUAGCCUUUAAAAGAAAUGCCAGUGACCCAAUAUCUGGUUGUGUUAAAACUGCUCAUUAUAUCAGUCAAGACAAUAGUGAAAAUCAAAUUCCAAAUUCGGCAAACUGUUUAGUCAAAACAUGUUUAGAAUAGCAUCAAAAGUUCAAUCUAUUGUAAAACUUGCAUCACGUUUAAAAAUUCAGCGAGGUCUUUGAGUUUUAUCCAUUUCUCAAGACGCAAAGAAUUGUAUUUUAAGAAAGAAAAAAGCAGAAAUAAAAAACAAAACAACUUAAGAUUGAAAUGAAAAACCUAGGUGAAUUGAAUUUGUGAAAAACAUCUUUAGAACUUUUCUAUUUUUUAAUUAAUCUUUUUGUUUGCUAACUCCUAUAUCAAUAGUGCAAUAUAUUUAGCUAGAGUCCUAUAUUACUAUUGAGCUACUCUUUUUUUUUUAAUUUUAUUAUUGAGUGCAUUAAUCAAUUAGAUAAAAUUCUGGUAUGAAUUCAUACCAAAUAAAAACAUUAUUACAUGCUUAC